GAUGAACGCUGGCGGCGUGCCUAAUACAUGCGAGUCGAGCGAACAGACGAGGAGCUUGCUCCUUUGACGUUAGCGGCGGACGGGUGAGUAACACGUAGGUAACCUACCUAUAAGACUGGGAUAACUUCGGGAAACCGGAGCUAUUACCGGAUAAUAUUUCGAACCGCAUGGUUCGAUAGUGAAAGAUGGCUUUGCUAUCACUUAUAGAUGGACCUGCGCCGUAUUAGCUAGUUGGUAAGGUAACGGCUUACCAAGGCAACGAUACGUAGCCGACCUGAGAGGGUGAUCGGCCACACUGGAACUGAGACACGGUCCAGACUCCUACGGGAGGCAGCAGUAGGGAAUCUUCCGCAAUGGGCGAAAGCCUGACGGAGCAACGCCGCGUGAGUGAUGAAGGUCUUCUGAUCGUAAAACUCUGUUAUUAGGGAAGAACAAACGUGUAAGUAACUGUGCACGUCUUGACGGUACCUAAUCAGAAAGCCACGGCUAACUACGUG
rnacentral:rRNA from 1 species